GUGCUCACUUCGGCAGCACAUAUACUAAAAUUGGAAUGAUACAGAGAAGAUUAGCAUGGACCCUGCACAAGGAUUGACAUAUUUUAGAUAACUUGGUCUAUCUU